rnacentral:rRNA from 1 species
CGGUUAAGUUAGAAAGGGCGCACGGUGGAUGCCUUGGCACUAGGAGCCGAUGAAGGACGGGACGAACACCGAUAUGCUUCGGGGAGCUGUAAGCAAGCUUUGAUCCGGAGAUUUCCGAAUGGGGAAACCCACCACUCGUAAUGGAGUGGUAUCCAUAUCUGAAUACAUAGGAUAUGAGAAGGCAGACCCGGGGAACUGAAACAUCUAAGUACCCGGAGGAAGAGAAAGCAAAUGCGAUUCCCUGAGUAGCGGCGAGCGAAACGGGACCAGCCCAAACCAAGAGGCUUGCCUCUUGGGGUUGUAGGACACUCUGUACGGAGUUACAAAGGAACGAGGUAGAUGAAGAGGUCUGGAAAGGCCCGCCAUAGAAGGUAACAGCCCUGUAGUCAAAACUUCGUUCUCUCCUGAGUGGAUCCUGAGUACGGCGGAACACGUGAAAUUCCGUCGGAAUCCGGGAGGACCAUCUCCCAAGGCUAAAUACUCCCUAGUGACCGAUAGUGAACCAGUACCGUGAGGGAAAGGUGAAAAGCACCCCGGAAGGGGAGUGAAAGAGAUCCUGAAACCGUGUGCCUACAAGUAGUCAGAGCCCGUUAACGGGUGAUGGCGUGCCUUUUGUAGAAUGAACCGGCGAGUUACGAUCCCGUGCAAGGUUAAGCAGAAGAUGCGGAGCCGCAGCGAAAGCGAGUCUGAAUAGGGCGAAUUGAGUACGUGGUCGUAGACCCGAAACCAGGUGAUCUACCCAUGUCCAGGGUGAAGUUCAGGUAACACUGAAUGGAGGCCCGAACCCACGCACGUUGAAAAGUGCGGGGAUGAGGUGUGGGUAGGGGUGAAAUGCCAAUCGAACCUGGAGAUAGCUGGUUCUCUCCGAAAUAGCUUUAGGGCUAGCCUCAAGGUAAGAGUCUCGGAGGUAGAGCACUGAUUGGACUAGGGGCCCCUACCGGGUUACCGAAUUCAGUCAAACUCCGAAUGCCGAUGACUUAUCCUUGGGAGUCAGACUGCGAGUGAUAAGAUCCGUAGUCGAAAGGGAAACAGCCCAGACCGCCAGCUAAGGUCCCAAAGUAUACGUUAAGUGGAAAAGGAUGUGGAGUUGCUUAGACAACCAGGAUGUUGGCUUAGAAGCAGCCACCAUUUAAAGAGUGCGUAAUAGCUCACUGGUCGAGUGACUCUGCGCCGAAAAUGUACCGGGGCUAAACGUAUCACCGAAGCUGCGGACUGUUCUUCGAACAGUGGUAGGAGAGCGUUCUAAGGGCUGUGAAGCAAGACCGGAAGGACUUGUGGAGCGCUUAGAAGUGAGAAUGCCGGUAUGAGUAGCGAAAGAGGGGUGAGAAUCCCCUCCACCGAAUGCCUAAGGUUUCCUGAGGAAGGCUCGUCCGCUCAGGGUUAGUCGGGACCUAAGCCGAGGCCGAAAGGCGUAGGCGAUGGAUAACAGGUUGAUAUUCCUGUACCACCUCCUCACCAUUUGAGCAAUGGGGGGACGCAGGAGGAUAGGGUAAGCGCGGUAUUGGAUAUCCGCGUCCAAGCAGUUAGGCUGGGAAAUAGGCAAAUCCGUUUCCCGUGAAGGCUGAGCUGUGAUGGCGAGCGAAUUAUAGUAGCGAAGUUCCUGAUUCCACACUGCCAAGAAAAGCCUCUAGCGAGGUGAGAGGUGCCCGUACCGCAAACCGACACAGGUAGGCGAGGAGAGAAUCCUAAGGUGAUCGAGAGAACUCUCGUUAAGGAACUCGGCAAAAUGACCCCGUAACUUCGGGAGAAGGGGUGCUCUGUUAGGGUGCAAGCCCGAGAGAGCCGCAGUGAAUAGGCCCAGGCGACUGUUUAGCAAAAACACAGGUCUCUGCGAAGCCGUAAGGCGAAGUAUAGGGGCUGACGCCUGCCCGGUGCUGGAAGGUUAAGAGGAGCGCUUAGCGUAAGCGAAGGUGCGAAUUGAAGCCCCAGUAAACGGCGGCCGUAACUAUAACGGUCCUAAGGUAGCGAAAUUCCUUGUCGGGUAAGUUCCGACCCGCACGAAAGGCGCAACGAUCUGGGCACUGUCUCAACGAGAGACUCGGUGAAAUUAUAGUACCUGUGAAGAUGCAGGUUACCCGCGACAGGACGAAAAGACCCCGUGGAGCUUUACUGCAGCCUGAUAUUGAAUGUUGGUACAGCUUGUACAGGAUAGGUAGGAGCCUUGGAAACCGGAGCGCCAGCUUCGGUGGAGGCAUCGGUGGGAUACUACCCUGGCUGUAUUGACCUUCUAACCCGCCGCCCUUAUCGGGCGGGGAGACAGUGUCAGGUGGGCAGUUUGACUGGGGCGGUCGCCUCCUAAAAGGUAACGGAGGCGCCCAAAGGUUCCCUCAGAAUGGUUGGAAAUCAUUCGCAGAGUGUAAAGGCACAAGGGAGCUUGACUGCGAGACCUACAAGUCGAGCAGGGACGAAAGUCGGGCUUAGUGAUCCGGUGGUUCCGCAUGGAAGGGCCAUCGCUCAACGGAUAAAAGCUACCCCGGGAUAACAGGCUUAUCUCCCCAAGAGUCCACAUCGACGGGGAGUUUGGCACCUCGAUGUCGGCUCAUCGCAUCCUGGGGCUGUAGUCGGUCCCAAGGGUUGGGCUGUUCGCCCAUUAAAGCGGUACGCGAGCUGGGUUCAGAACGUCGUGAGACAGUUCGGUCCCUAUCCGUCGCGGGCGCAGGAAAUUUGAGAGGAGCUGUCCUUAGUACGAGAGGACCGGGAUGGACGCACCGCUGGUGUACCAGUUGUUCUGCCAAGGGCAUCGCUGGGUAGCUAUGUGCGGACGGGAUAAGUGCUGAAAGCAUCUAAGCAUGAAGCCCCCCUCAAGAUGAGAUUUCCCAUUCCGCAAGGAAGUAAGAUCCCUGAAGAUGAUCAGGUUGAUAGGUCUGAGGUGGAAGUGUGGCGACACAUGGAGCUGACAGAUACUAAUCGAUCGAGGACUUAACCAAUUU